UCGAACGGCGGUCUUCGGACAUAGCUGGCGCACGGGCUGCGUAACACGUAUGCAACCUACCUUACAUUGGGGGAUAGCCUUUUCGAAAGGGAGAUUAAUACCGCAUAAGACAGUAGCUGGGCAUCCAGCAGCUGUUAAAGAUUUAUCGAUGUAAGAUGGGCAUGCGUCCAAUUAGUUAGUUGGCGAGGUAAUGGCUCACCAAGACUUUGAUUGGUAGGGGAACUGAGAGGUCAAUCCCCCACACUGGCACUG
rnacentral:rRNA from 1 species